CGGAUUUGAAUAUCGUGGAACAGGGGAUAUUGAGUAGGGCUGAACGGCUGUAGAAAGCGCUUCUUUCGAGGAAAAUGCACCAGAUUAAGAAAAUCUGGUGCGUCCGAGUGGACUCGAACCACCGACCCCCACCA
rnacentral:antisense_RNA from 1 species